CGCAGCUAACUGUGUGAAAUCGUGUGAACUGCAGGACACAUGAACAUCGACAUUUUGAACGCAUAUUGCGGUCCAUGCAAAAGUUUAAAUUUUUGUUUAAACUGCAUGGACCACGUAUGGAUGGUUGAGUGU
rnacentral:rRNA from 1 species